GAACGAGCUGAGCCUUCGGGGCUCGAUGCUAGUGGCGCCACGGGUGAGUAACGCGUGGGAACGUUCCCUUUAGUACGGAAUAACCAAGGGAAACUUUGGCUAAUACCGUAUACGCCCUUCGGGGGAAAGAUUUAUCGCUAAAGGAUCGGCCCGCGUCUGAUUAGGUAGUUGGUAGGGUAAUGGCCUACCAAGCCUACGAUCAGUAGCUGGUCUGAGAGGAUGAUCAGCCACACUGGGACUGAGACACGGCCCAGACUCCUACGGGAGGCAGCAGUGGGGAAUAUUGGACAAUGGGGGAAACCCUGAUCCAGCCAUGCCGCGUGAGUGAAGAAGGCCUUCGGGUUGUAAAGCUCUUUCGGCGGGGACGAUGAUGACGGUACCCGCAUAAGAAGCCCCGGCAAACUUCGUGCCAGCAGCCGCGGUAAU
rnacentral:rRNA from 1 species